rnacentral:rRNA from 1 species
UGGUGACCAGCGGAGGGAUCAUUACUGAGUUACAAACUCCAAACCUUUGUGAACAUACCACAGUUGCUUCGGCGGCCUCGCCCCGGGCGCGGCGGGACCCUCUCGGGGGGAACGCGGCGACCCGGACCCAGGCGACCGCCGGGGGACCCAAACUCUUGUCUUUUAGUGUAUUAUCUGAGUGGCAUAAGCAAAAUAAAUUAAAACUUUCAGCAACGGAUCUCUUGGUUCUGGCAUCGAUGAAGAACGCAGCGAAAUGCGAUAAGUAAUGUGAAUUGCAGAAUUCAGUGAAUCAUCGAAUCUUUGAACGCACAUUGCGCCCGCCAGUACUCUGGCGGGCAUGCCUGUCCGAGCGUCAUUUCAACCCUCAGCACCCCCGUUCGCGGCGGGAGCUGGCGUUGGGGAUCGGCCGUCCUCUGCGGCGGCCGGCCCCGAAACGAAGUGGCGGUCACGUCGCGACCUCCUCUGCGUAGUAGCAAUAUCUCGCAGCCUGGAUAGCGGCGCGGCCAUGCCGUAAAACCCCAACUUUUUCAAGGUUGACCUCGGAUCAGGUAGGAAUACCCGCUGAACUUAAGCAUAUCAAUA